UUGAACGCUGGCGGCAUGCCUUACACAUGCAAGUCGAACGGUAGAGGGGCAACCCUUGAGAGUGGCGAACGGGUGAGUAAUAUAUCGGAACGUGCCCAGUCGUGGGGGAUAACGCAGCGAAAGCUGCGCUAAUACCGCAUACGAUCUAUGGAUGAAAGCGGGGGAUCGGCAAGACCUCGCGCGAUUGGAGCGGCCGAUAUCAGAUUAGGUAGUUGGUGGGGUAAAAGCCCACCAAGCCGACGAUCUGUAGCUG
rnacentral:rRNA from 1 species